rnacentral:rRNA from 1 species
AUUGAACGCUGGCGGCAGGCCUAACACAUGCAAGUCGAACGAGUGGCGGACGGGUGAGUAAUGUAUGGGAAACUGCCUGAUGGAGGGGGACAACUACUGGAAACGGUAGCUAAUACCGCAUACCAUCAGAUGUGCCCAGAUGGGAUUAGCUAGUUGGUGGGGUAACGGAUCACCAAGGCGACGAUCCCUAGCUGGUCUGAGAGGAGGACCAGCCACACUGGGACUGAGAAACGGUCCAGACUCCUACGGGAGGCAGCAGUGGGGAAUAUUGCACAAUGGGCGCAAGCCUGAUGCAGCCAUGCCGCGUGUAUGAAGAAGGCCUGCGGGUUGUAAAGUACUUUCAGCAGGGAGGCGUUACCCGCAGAAGAAGCACCGGCUAACUCCGUGCCAGCAGCGGCGGUAAUUC